UACAGAGGGUGCAAACGUUUGCUCGGAAUUAUUGGGCGUAAAGCGCACGUAGGCGGCAUUGCAAGUCCCAUGUGAAAGCCCACGGCUUAACCGUGGAAGUGCAUGGGAAACUGCAGUGCUUGAGUACUUAAGAGGAUCGCGGAAUUCCCGGUGUAGAGGUGAAAUUCGUAGAUAUCGGGGAGGAACACCGGUGGCGAAGGCGGCCUGCUGGGCAGUGGCUGACGCUGAGGCGCGCAGCGUGGGGGAGCAAACAG
rnacentral:rRNA from 1 species